rnacentral:rRNA from 1 species
GACGAACGCUGGCGGCGUGCCUAAUACAUGCAAGUCGAGCGAGCUUGCCUAGAUGAUUUUAGUGCUUGCACUAAAUGAAACUAGAUACAAGCGAGCGGCGGACGGGUGAGUAACACGUGGGUAACCUGCCCAAGAGACUGGGAUAACACCUGGAAACGGAUGCUAAUACCGGAUAACAACACUAGACGCAUGUCUAGAGUUUGAAAGAUGGUUCUGCUAUCACUCUUGGAUGGACCUGCGGUGCAUUAGCUAGUUGGUAAGGUAACGGCUUACCAAGGCAAUGAUGCAUAGCCGAGUUGAGAGACUGAUCGGCCACAUUGGGACUGAGACACGGCCCAAACUCCUACGGGAGGCAGCAGUAGGGAAUCUUCCACAAUGGACGAAAGUCUGAUGGAGCAACGCCGCGUGAGUGAAGAAGGGUUUCGGCUCGUAAAGCUCUGUUGGUAGUGAAGAAAGAUAGAGGUAGUAACUGGCCUUUAUUUGACGGUAAUUACUUAGAAAGUCACGGCUAACUACGUG